rnacentral:rRNA from 1 species
AUUGAACGCUGGCGGCAGGCCUAACACAUGCAAGUCGAGCGAGCGGCGGACGGGUGAGUAAUGUAUGGGGACUGCCCGAUAGAGGGGGAUAACUACUGGAAACGGUGGCUAAUACCGCAUACUCUCAGAUAACCCAUAUGGGAUUAGCUAGUAGGUAAGGUAAUGGCUUACCUAGGCGACGAUCCCUCGCUGGUCUGAGAGGAUGCGGAGCCACAGUGGGACUGAGACAGGCCCCAGCCUCCCAGGGGGGCAGCUGUGGGGACUUUUGCACUGUGGGAGAAGGCCUGAAGCAGCCAUGCCGGGUGUAGGAAGAGGGCUUGCGUGUUGUAACGUACUUUCAGUGGGGAGAGGUUACCGACAGAAGAGGCACCGGUUAACUCGGUGCAAGCAGCGCGGUAAUAC